GACCGGGGCGUGCACAAGGCGGGGGCCCAGGCUGGGUGAGGGAGACAUGGAGAGGACUCGACAGCAGUGGCGCCCAAGCAUCCCGGAAAGGCUUAGGAAAGUGUCCCUGGGGCAGGAAACUGCAGGUGCCGAGCCCUCAGGUCCAUUGCUGUAAACUGAGGACAAAGCCUUACCUAUUGCUCUGAAGAGGCUGUCGUGGCUUCUAAGCAGUGGCUCUGUCGCCCUCUCUCUGGGCCCAUCAUGAAGGAGGUCAGACAGCAUUCCUGACAGUCCAGAGGCUGGAGCGUGCGUACCAGGACUGUCCUCUCCCGCUGUCUCUGGCUUCUGGAUGCAGCAGUGAGCCCUUCAGGAAAAAGCAAGAGAUGGGACGCAGCUUAGAGCGGCCUCUGGAAGGUGGGGCUCGGGCCUGGCCCCCUCGAACCUGCAGCGUGACCUGGAGCUCGUCCCUUCCUGCCCUGGGCCUCAGUUUCUCCAGUUGUACAGUGAGGGUGUGGGGCUGGACAUCCUCCAUGCCCUGGAAGGGGCCUUUCUGUGUGUCAUCCUGUUAGUAACGGUUUAGCUCCGAGCCUAUAAUCACAUCUGCCCUGGGAAGAACUAACACAGCGUUUCUUUAAAUUGGGCUCUAAU